GACGUAGGGCGCGAGCGUUGUCCGGAUUUAUUGGGCGUAAAGAGCUCGUAGGCGGCUUGUCGCGUCGACCGUGAAAACUUGGGGCUCAACCCCAAGCCUGCGGUCGAUACGGGCAGGCUCGAGUUCGGUAGGGGAGUCUGGAAUUCCUGGUGUAGCGGUGAAAUGCGCAGAUAUCAGGAGGAACACCGGUGGCGAAGGCGGGACUCUGGGCCGAUACUGACGCUGAGGAGCGAAAGCGUGGGGAGCAAACAGG
rnacentral:rRNA from 1 species